rnacentral:lncRNA from 1 species
UCUAAAAUACAUAUUGUUUUUUUUUUUUUAAGAAAGAUAGGUAGCACACUGCCUAUUUCGUUUAUUUUAUUUAGAAAUAACUUAGCUGGAAAUGUGAAUUAACUAGGAUUCGAACUUGGGUACCAACCACCAAGCCCAUUACCACUUACUCUAGGGACGGUCGGUCUAAAAUACAGAUUGUUUUUUUUUUUUUUUUUUUGAGAAAUAAAUAGCACGCUGCCCGCUUCAUUUAUUUCAUUUAGAAAUAAACUUAACUGGAAAUGCGAAUCAAUUAGGAUUCGAAUUUGAGAUCUCGGGUAUCAACCACCAAACCCUUUGUCACUUGCUCUAGAAACAGUUGGUUAAAAUACAAAUUGUU